rnacentral:rRNA from 15 species
UAGCGGAACGUUUUAUAUUUUUUUAAAGAUUAUUUGAAAAAAUAAUUAAAAAAAAUAAAAGUGAGUAUACUGGCAUUAGUAGCUAAAAACAAUGAUUUAACAUUGUCGCCGUAAAUCUAAGGUUUCCGAUUCUACUUUUAAAAAAAAUCGGCAUAAUAAAUUCGGUCCCUAAGGCAAAUUACUAAUGUAUAAGCU